GACGAACGCUGGCGGCGUGCUUAACACAUGCAAGUCGAACGAAGAGCGAUGGAAGCUUGCUUCUAUCAAUCUUAGUGGCGAACGGGUGAGUAACGCGUAAUCAACCUGCCCUUCAGAGGGGGACAACAGUUGGAAACGACUGCUAAUACCGCAUACGAUCUAAUCUCGGCAUCGAGGAUAGAUGAAAGGUGGCCUCUACAUGUAAGCUAUCACUGAAGGAGGGGAUUGCGUCUGAUUAGCUAGUUGGAGGGGUAACGGCCCACCAAGGCGAUGAUCAGUAGCCGGGCUGAGAGGAUGAACGGCCACAUUGGGACUGAGACACGGCCCAGACGCCUACAGGAGGCAGCAGUGGGGAAUCUUCCGCAAUGGACGAAAGUCUGACGGAGCAACGCCGCGGGAGUGAUGACGGCCUUCGGGUUGUAAAGCUCGGUUAAUCGGGACGAAAGGCCUUCUUGCGAAUAGAGAGAAGGAUUGACGGUACCGGAAUAGAAAGCCACGGCUAACUACGUG
rnacentral:rRNA from 1 species